CCUACGGGUGGCAGCAGUGGGGAAUAUUGCACAAUGGGGGAAACCCUGAUGCAGCGACGCCGCGUGAGUGAAGAAGUAUUUCGGUAUGUAAAGCUCUAUCAGCAGGGAAGAAGAAAGACGGUACCUGACUAAGAAGCCCCGGCUAACACCGUGCCAGCAGCCGCGGGAAUACGUAGGGGGCAAGCGUUAUCCGGAUUUACUGGGUGGAAAGGGAGCGUAGACGGCGGUGCAAGUCUGAAGUGAAAGCCCAGGGCUCAACCCUGGGACUGCUUUGGAAACUGUGGAGCUAGAGUGCUGGAGAGGUAAGUGGAAUUCCUAGUGUAGCGGUGAAAUGCGUAGAUAUUAGGAGGAACACCAGUGGCGAAGGCGGCUUACUGGACAGUAACUGACGUUGAGGCUCGAAAGCGUGGGGAGCAAACAGGAUUAGAUACCCGGGUAGUC
rnacentral:rRNA from 1 species